GUCUACAGCCAUACUACCCUGAACAAGUGCGAUCCCAUCUGAUCUCAGAAGCUAAGCAGGGUCAGGCCUGGUUAGUACUUAUAUGGGAGACCAUCUAGGAAGACCAGGUGCUAUAGGCA
rnacentral:rRNA from 1 species